AGCAGCCGCGGUAAUUCCAGCUCCAAUAGCGUAUAUUAAAGUUGUUGCAGUUAAAAAGCUCGUAGUUGAAUUUCGGGAUCAGUACGCUGGUCGUGCCUCGGUAUGCACUGGUGUCACUGAUUCCUCCCUUCUGACGAACUAUCAUGCCAUUCAGUUGGUGUGGUAGGGAAUCAGGACUGUUACUUUGAAAAAAUUAGAGUGUUUAAAGCAGGCUUA
rnacentral:rRNA from 1 species